GACGAACGCUGGCGGCGUGGAUUAGGCAUGCAAGUCGGACGGUAGGGCUUUAUCGUAAGAUAGAGUUUGAGAGUGGCGAACGGGUGAGUAACACGUAGGAAUCUACCCUUAAGACGGGGACAACCCAGGGAAACUUGGGCUAAUACCGGAUGAGAGUGCGAGAGAUUGCAUUUAAAAGGAUGGCGAAAGUUGUCGCUUAGGGAUGAGCCUGCGGUCUAUUAGUUAGUUGGUGAGGUAAGAGCUCACCAAGGCGAUGAUAGAUAGGCGGCCUUAACGGGUGGUCGCCCACACUGGGAUUGAGAUACGGCCCAGACUCCUACGGGAGGCAGCAGUCGAGAAUAGUCUACAAUGGCCGGAAGGCUGAUAGUGCGACGCCGCGUGAACGAGGGAGCCUUCGGGUGUAAAGUUCUUUUCUAUACGAGCAGUGCUAUAUAUAUGGAUAGUAUAUAUAGAGGGAUAGUAGUAUAGGAAUAAGCAACGGCUAACUCCGUGCCAGC
rnacentral:rRNA from 1 species